UGAUGACGUUCCCCAGUUCUAGAUGAGAUAUGUAGAAACUGGUUUUAGUUCAUCACAUAUUAACAUCAGAACUAACUUCACCCAGAAUAGUCAACUAAUCAGGUGAUUGGUUCAUGGCUAUUCUUGGUUUUGCGGGUUCUCACAAAU
rnacentral:snoRNA from 1 species